GCUGCCCAGCUCCCAUCAAAUGCCCAGCUCUCAUCGGAUGCCCUGCUCAACCUGGAGCUUGUCUGCUCGCCAAUUAGCCUCAGAUAAAAUCGGAACCUGGAGGAUGCAGCCCAGGUUUGGACAGCCAUGCCAUCGGCGCCUGUGCAGGAAACACACGUUUCCCGGAAAGUCCCGGCGGUGAGCGUGGCACUCGCACGUGCUCCUUGCCCUUGGCAAGGGUUAAGCCUGCGACCUUCUCCUUGGAGCAAGGCUGCUGGGUCUCCAGCACCUGGAGUCUGCGGGGUGGAGGGUAGCGCCCGUGGCCCAGUGACUCGGUGUUCAUUCUCAGCUGCUCCGGGUGUGGAACGCCCUCCGUAGUUAGUAUUGAUCACCUUGGUCUCCAAGGCCUGCACUCGGAAAAUAAAACCACAGCUCCUCCAGGCAGAUUCUACCCCCAGGUCACUUCUUGAAAGAUCGUUUUAACUACCUGGUUUUGACUUGAUGUUGAGUCUUGACUGUUUAUUUUUUUCUGUUCUGAGUGGUAAACUGUUUCAAGGAGGAGUCCUGCCACAGGGGACGUCAGCCCACCAGUGAAGCCAGAGGCUCUGUUCUGGGUGCCGGCAAUGAAGCUGAGUCGUCAAGACUCUGGGUCACAGGACGUGGCUGUCAUUGGUUAAGGCGUCUUGACCAUUCACUCCGGACCAGGAAGCAGACACACACCCCUGGAGAGGAGGCUAGUCAAACGCCACGCUUCUGAGAGAGCAGUCAGACUUCCACAUCCCGCCCGAGCUCGUGUUUCACAUCAGCACCCCAAAACCACAGAGCAACAAGCAGAGGGCCUGAGGAUCCAGAGCUGACAGUCACAAAGCGUGAGGUAGUGAAGAGACAGACACAAGACGAAGGCAGAGAUGCCAGCUUCACCCUGCCUCCAGUUCCCACUGGGCAUCUGCCGGCUGAAGUGAAGAGCUACUGUUGUGGUUUAGACACAAGGUGUCCCCCAAAAGCGUAUGUGCGGGCCCUGCAAGAGGGCUUAGUGGUGAGAUGAUCGGUUAUGAGAGCCUUAACCCAACCAGCGCAUCCAUCUCCUGAUGGGGAU